rnacentral:rRNA from 1 species
AAUGAACGCUGGCGGCGCGCCUAAUACAUGCAAGUCGAGCGAGAAGACGUAGCAAUACGUUUGUAAAGCGGCGAACGGGUGAGGAAUACAUGGGUAACCUACCCUAGAGUGGGGAAUAACUAGCCGAAAGGUUAGCUAAUACCGCGUACGCUCCUUGGACUUCGGUUCAGGGAGGAAAGCGAUGCCGAGGGUAUCGCGCCCUUGGAUGGGCUCAUGUCCUAUCAGCUUGUUGGGAGGUAACGGCUCACCAAGGCUUCGACGGGUAGCUGGUCUGAGAGGACGAUCAGCCACACUGGCACUGCGACACGGGCCAGACUCCUACGGGAGGCAGCAGUAAGGAAUAUUGCGCAAUGGGCGAAAGCCUGACGCAGCGACGCCGCGUGGGGGAU